UACCUACCAAGUCCAUUUCCCGAGCCCACC
rnacentral:piRNA from 1 species